UCUUCAGCCUCUUUCAAUUCUCCUCAUCUUUUGCAGCUGGCAACUUACUACAAUUGACUGUGAUAUUUAUUUUGGGGUUUACAAAUUGUAUAAAAAGGGUUCUGAAGCUGUGGAGAAGACCAGUGUCGUUCCUCAGCAGCAAAUAGACAGCCAUCUUGUGCCUGAGAUCAGUGAUUUCGUCUGUGAAGAAUCAGGAAGUUAUCUGUUCCUCUUUGACAAUACUCACAGCUGGUUCAGAAGCAAGCGAGUUCUCUAUCGAAUUGAUGUCACUCUUCCAGAUGCCAGUCCACCCAGAGAAUAAAAUAAUGAUGUUGUUGUUA